GAAUUACGCUGCAGUAGCCCCGAGAUCUGCAGCCAGAAAAGUAGCCGCGUGUGAUUCCAGCGGAGCCAUCGCAGUGGAGAAUGAGCCCGUGGGGCUUUGAAAUUUCUUUUUUUUAAUUGAUGCUGUUGCUGAUAGCGAGGCUCCUUCCUUGGCAAAAUCUCCGGUGUCUCCAGAGGGUAGCCUUGCUUGUCUUCAUUUCUGGAGGAUAGCUUCAGUCUUGCUGCUUGGAUGGAAAAUUGUUCAGGUAACUUCCAUUGGUGAUUAUUCUGCUCCAGGGCAUCUGUAUGCAAUACAUACUGGGAUUUUGGAAGUAAACGUACCUCCUGUGGACUUUUUUUCUUUCUUUUAAAAGCAAGUCUGGUGUGUCGGAGAAAAUCGUGGUGUGAUCAUGUUGUCUUUUAGCCCAAAGUGAAAAACUGUUGGAAUCAGAUGGGCCAGCCAAGACUUCUGUGACUAUAGAGCAUGGACCCAAACUGGCUUACAUCAUUCUCCUCUCCUUCAUUUUAUUUUGACAACAAGCUUGCAAGAUUAGACUGAGUUUGUGAUUGUACCCUGGUCACCCAACAAACUCCCAUGGCAGAGUCAGGAUCUGAACUUGGGUCUCUUACUGGUAGAUCCUGAUACUCCAACCCCUACACCACCCUGGCAUGUGAAGUGUUCUGUAAUGUUUAUUUUAUUUAGCUUGCAACAAAAAAAAUAUAUUGUUUGCCGAGCAGUCAUCCUGUGAGAUGGAUCAAUAGAAAGAAUGGACUCAGAACAGUGGCAGAAAGAUGUGACGAGUUGACCCAAGCUACCCAGUGGCAGAGCAAGGAUCUGACCAGGAUCAUGUCAGAUCAAAGCUUGAUAUGCACAUUCCUUCCUGGAUCAGGAAUCUCAUGCACAACCUGGAAGCAGAAGGAGGCGUGUCUUGGGGCAUAGCAUCUGAUGUGACCCCAUCUGCACCACAGACGGUGUUGAAAAUGUACUUCUCAUCCAUCUUGCAGUGUAAGGUGAUGUUCCAUACUUUUUUUUAAACAUGGGUCACUAGUUGUGCAUUAACAACUUCAAGGCUGCUUUUGGUCACACAGGGAUUUUAUUGCUGUAUUCAGUUCCCACAAUAUCUGUGCCCUUUAAUUUAGGCUGCUCAAAGUGAGCAAUAGGCACUAACAAUCCCAGUCCAAAAUAUUUUACAUCCAAAUAAACAUUGUACCUUGAAA